rnacentral:lncRNA from 1 species
ACGUAUCCAAUUCGUUACUUUCUUCCUCUCCCUUUCUUUUCUUUCCCCAGUGUUCUCACAAUCCUCUCGCUCGAAAUCUCUCACCCUUUCUCGUGCCUCUUUACUCCGUUUCUCCCCCAAAUCCGGCCGCAUCUUCUUCUAUAUCUUCUUCUAACCGCUGGCGCCAAGCUUCGAUGCUGCCACCUCUUUUCAGUGCUUCCGGCGAUCCACUCAACCCCCCACCUGUUAUUGUAAUCAGUGGGUAAACAUCCUUUAUUAUAAAAUCAGUUUAUAUAUGUAUGUGUAUAUAUGUUGUGUUGUACUAACUACGAUAUGAACUAAUCAAGUUAGCCAAUUUGUGACCAAAUCAGCUGUAUCUAUGUAUAGUGUGUGUGUGUGUGUGUAUACUUGUCUUGCAUUAGUUAAGAAUUGAUUUGAUUAUUAGAAAUUAAUUUAAUUAAUUACGUGAUUAUAGGCUAAUCGGGGUAAUGUUUACUCGAUUGGGAAUUAAUUGUUGUGUAUGUGUUCAUAUGAAUUAGGGAGUUUUAUCGGAGUAUAAAUUUGGGCAUUUGUUGGGAAGAAAUUGUUGUGUAAUCAUUUUCUCUCUAUUUUGUAUUGUAGUGUCCUAAGCCACUUUCUACUGAUGACAUAUAUUGUGGCUAUUCUGUGGGAAGUUUUAUUAAAGAUAUAAGAGGAAAAAUUGUUGUUAAUGUAAGUAUUUCUAAUUUUCUAAUUAAAGAGUUAAGAGUUCAAACCAAUCAUGUGAUUUUAACGGUUUUAUAUUUUUAUUGUGCACAGCUUACAUAUUCUCCGAGAUUGAAGACAUAAUCUCUGAAUAAAAUUGUGGCUUUUCAGAUAAAUUGGGCAGGUCACUUAUAUGAUCGGUUUCUCAGGGA